GGGGCCUGGGCUUUUGGCCUCGACCUUAAGAUGAACAUUACACCUACGGAGGCUUGAGAGCAGGGACUUUAAGGCAUGAAGUCCCUACUCAUGCAUGAACAGCUCUUUUAACUUGGGGGUGUAUCGUUUUCAGGGUAUUGCAGGUUCCGACGGUCUUCCUGGGGAUAAAGGAGAACUGGGUCCCAGCGGCCUGGUCGGACCCAAAGGAGAGUCUGGCAGUCGAGGGGAGCUGGGCCCCAAAGGCACCCAGGGUCCCAACGGCACCAGCGGUGUUCAGGGUGUCCCCGGGCCCCCCGGUCCUCUGGGCCUGCAGGGCGUCCCGGGUGUUCCUGGCAUCACGGGGAAGCCGGGAGUUCCGAACAAAUUGCACAGUUAGCCGCGCACCUAAGGAAGCCUUUGGCACCCGGGUCCAUUGGCCGGCCCGGUCCAGCUGGCCCCCCUGGGCCCCCAGGACCCCCAGGCUCCAUUGGUCACCCUGGCGCUCGAGGACCCCCCGGAUACCGCGGUCCCACUGGGGAGCUGGGAGACCCCGGGCCCAGAGGAAACCAGGGUGACAGAGGAGACAAAGGCACGGCAGGAGCAGGGCUGGACGGGCCUGAAGGAGACCAGGGGCCCCAAGGACCCCAAGGCGUGCCCGGCACCAGCAAGGACGGCCAGGACGGUGCUCCCGGCGAGCCUGGGCCUCCCGGAGAUCCUGGGCUUCCAGGUGCCAUUGGGGCCCAGGGGACACCGGGGAUCUGCGACACCUCAGCCUGCCAAGGAGCCGUGUUAGGAGGGGUCGGGGAAAAAUCAGGCUCUAGAAGCUCAUAAAAUUCAACGUGAGGAAGCAAGUGACAAGGACGCCUGAAGCACGGUGGACGGUCAUGAAGGAGCGGGGGUGUGGCAGGCGGGUGACGUCCAGGAGAGGGAGCGCCCCUGGCUGCCCCUCGGCCGCCGACUGGACGCGCGGGCCCUGCCAGCGAGCACCCUCAUCGGGCUGUCGCCUGACAGCAUACCUCAAAAGGCCCUAGCUAAUAAACCUGUAAGCCCAGCAUUUGAGAGAAGGUAGGGUGUGUAUAUAUAAAAGGUGUACAACUCCACGAGGUGAAAAAUAUUCAGUAACUUGUUUACAUAGCAUUUGUGUAAAGACUAUGAUCUCAUCCCAAUAAAAUGAUAUAUUAAAUCUUCAGAUUAAUGACUGGCUACAGAGUAACAAAAAAUAAAGAAUUUAAUGUACAGUAAAUUCUCUCCCAUA
rnacentral:sRNA from 1 species